GGAGGGGUGGCCGAGCGGCUUAAGGCAGCGGUCUUGAAAACCGCCGAUGGGUAACCAUCCGAGAGUUCGAAUCUCUCCUCCUCCGCCA
rnacentral:tRNA from 1 species